rnacentral:rRNA from 1 species
CCUACGGGAGGCAGCAGUGAGGAAUAUUGGUCAAUGGGCUUACCCCUGAACCAGCGAAGUCGCGUGAGGGAAGACUGCCCUCUGGGUUGUAAACCUCUUUUGUCAGGGAGCAACGCCGGCUACGUGUAGCCGGACUGAGAGUACCUGAAGACAAAGCAUCGGCUAACUCCGUGCGAGCAGCCGCGGUAAUACGGAGGAUGCGAGCGUUAUCCGGAUGUAUUGGGUUUAAAGGGUGCGUAGGCUGUGAGGUAAGUCAGCGGUGAAAUGCCCCCGCUCAACGGGGUGAAGUGCCAUUGAUACUGCCUGGCUGGAAUGCGGAUGCCGUGGGAGGAAUGUGUGGUGUAGCGGUGAAAUGCAUAGAUAUCACACAGAACACCGAUUGCGAAGGCAUCUCACGAAUCCGCGAUUGACGCUGAUGCACGAAAGCGUGGGUAGCAAACAGGAUUAGAUACCCUUGUAGUC